rnacentral:lncRNA from 1 species
ACCCAGGGUAUAGAAAUACUGCUGCAGUCCGGGCCACCGCCCACUGCACUGCGACCCAGCAGGGACUUCGCCUCUUAGUCUCAGCAGCUUAUCUGCCCGUGCUCUGCGCCCAUGGCUAAAGGUCCCUUUUCGCGCAAGCCCUGGGGUCCAGAGCAGAUGUAUUUCGAUUCUGACCCUGAGUACGAGGGCCUGUUCGAUAAGCCUCCCCUGGAGGAGGGCCACACUGCGCGUGCACCUAAGUCUGCAUCCUCGGCUGGCAGGAAAUCUGGUCGGCGUUCGAGUGGGAGGGCUCCGGGGACCCGCGCUGGGCUGUCCCGAAAGGCCGCCGUGCGUCCAGAGCCCAAGGAAGAAGAGCCUCCAGUGGAAGAGGGCUGCUACCUUGACCACUUCCCGCACCUCUCCAUCUUCAUCUACGCGGCCAUCGCCUUCUCCAUCACCUCCUGCAUCUUCACCUAUAUCCAUUUGCAGCUUGCCUAAGCGGCCAGGGCCCCGACGGGGUGGGCGCAGAGUCGAGGGGAGGGGAGGGGAGGGGAGAGGAAUGAGAAGCGUAGCCUUUUGUUUCGGAAACGUGCUGCACCCCCUUCAUCUAGCAUUCGAUGCUUCUUUUCUUUGUUGUCGCUUUGUCUAACUGUUGUUCAUCAGACGGUCCAGAGUCGCUGCAGGCAAUGAAAUAGCUGUGCUGCUUGCACCCGUACAUUGAGUGCAAUUAGUAUAAUCCUGGAUUGAAUUGAACCCCGUUUGUAAUUAGGAUGUCUCUGUAUCCUACCACUUUGUGACGUGAGGGCCUAGCAUUUUUGUGUUUGUAGAGCAGAGUCCAGCCUUCUGUUGUUUAAAGGAUGAACCAGACCCGAGUCUGCGGCCUCCCUGAGAAGGUACCGCAAGGAGAAUCAGCACCCUGGCUCGGAGUGCUGGAGCCUCAUGAUGCUGCGUCACACCGGGAUGAGCCAGCUGUGCCUAGUUCUUUUGGUUAGAACUCUGAGCACCAAGCUGGCGGACCUGGGAGAGCAGCGGAUAUGGCUGGCUGCUGGAGGAGGUUUUGUGGCUACCAGAACUGACCACCAGAGAGUCAACGCUCAAGAUGGGUUUUUGGACUGUGUGGAAAAGGAGACCACAAGUCUUCAGAGAUGGAGGCCUAGAUAGAAUUCGUGUGUUCCAUGAGAUGAGACUGAGGGCUUUCCUUUGCUGCGGCCCAUAGGAGGACAGUGCUAGAGAAUUCUAUGGUGACUUCAUUUCAGCCUGGAGGCCUUCUAAAGCUGUGAUACCAAGAUGAAGAGACUGGGACUAAGGACUGUCAGUAACAGAGUUCCUGCUGAAAUCUGUCAUCUCAGACUCAAAAAAGUGAAUACCAGAACUCGCGUUUGCAGGUUAUUCACCUACCCACUGUUUGUUUAUUCAUGUCAGCUGUUCAAAUGCAAAACUUUCUAACACUGCUAUACUCUGUGGAAAUGUCUAUAAUUGCAGCAUGUCUGAUGGAAUAAAUCAUAUUCUCAGUGUCCUCUGUA